GAACCUGGGCUGGGGGGAGCGUGGAGUGCAGCCAGGAGUCCUGGAAGUAAGAGGAACCCCAUCAUGACUCUCAUUAACUCAGGGAGACUCAGCUCCUCCAAGGGCCAGGCCUACAGACAGGGUUAUUCCCAUCUUUGUCUAGUGACCGUAAAUACCAUCUCGUUUCCGGGUCUCUAUGUUUCCCCAUCUGUGAAAUGGGACAAAGAGGACCCAGGUCUUUGACCUGAGCCCAGGAUUUACAGCCCAACAGUACCACCUCUGAUUUCUGCUUUCUCACGUCCAGGAGGAAGCCAUGCUGUUCUGAGACCUGCUGGUAAUUCCUCUUUCCCAGGAAUGGCAGGCUAGCCCAGGGGUGAGCUCAGAGCCUGGGCAGGAAGAGGGGACACUGAUGUCCAGGCCAGGGUUUGAGCGGGGGCAGAAAGGACUGACCACAUAUCCUGAGCCGGGGAAGCAAAGACUCACAGCCUGCAGACCAGCGGGCUCGGUCUCUGUGGCUGAUGAGCACAGGUCAGCGUGUCCCAGGACCCUGCAGAGCUUCCAGGACCAGCCUGAGGGACAGGCCUGUGGCCAGCUGGGGCCUUUGUCCCCAGAAUUGGACUUGAGUGGGAGGUCUUGCCCUGAUCAGACUUGGGCCCCUGAGCUCCAGGGACUCCCCACACCCACCCAGUGUGGAGCUCCUAGGCUGUCCCCGCAGCCCCCUGACCCCCAGGGUUGUGGCCUCCUGGAAGGGAGAAGCAGGCAGCCUCUAUAACCCCACUUGACCUCCUGUAGGGCCUGCUCAUUUUUUAUCUCUCCCCAGAAGCCUCCUCUGAACCAGGAUAUGCAUGUUUGUUACAUGGGGACCUGCCCUCAGAAAGGCCCCCCAGGGCAUGGCCACCAGCAUCACACUUCAGCAGCCAGGACCAUCUUUGCAUCCUCCUCCGACUGGGGGGAAAAUGUGUCCCAUGUCAUGUGCCCCUGAUCACAUCCAAAGAGUGUUCGAAUCCUCUUGAUUCUCCCUCCUGGAAAUCCUGCAAAUCCAUGCUGUUCUCUUGCUCCCGCGGCCUGGGUCACCUACAGCGGCCUCUGCGGGUGCCCCGUCUCCCUCCACACCACUCCAGUGAGCAGUACCUUCCAACCCACGUGCCCCUCUCCAACCACAAAGGACAGCUCCCAGAGCUCCUCUGCCACUUCUCCCAGGCCCACCUGGAGGACGCGGGACCAGCCUCCCCAGCCAGGGCAGAAGGAAGGGCUUCAGAAAAGAAGAAAAAAAUGCUCCCAAACCCUGUUAGACCAUCUGCAAAAGCUAUAACCUCAGAGCCUUGCAAACAACAUUGACCCUGGAAGAGAGGGACAUGGCUGGGUGUGCAGGCUGGAUACCAGAAUUCCUGUUCUCAGCUGAGUCUUCCAAGACAGGCACUGUCCCCUGAAAAAGAAGGCCUCGUCGUGUGGUGGUCCUACCCAGAGGAUCUGGGGAGGAGCCUGGAUCCUUGUUAACUCCUUGCUUGAUGCCCCCAUCUUUCCUCACGCCCCCAGACUGUCGGCUCUGUGGAAAGACCCAAGGGCUCUGGUCCUCCCGGUCACCCUAGGACGUAGGUGCCCCACAGAGGGCCCCCGCAGCUGUGACAUGUGAGGCAAGCUCACAGACAGAGGACACCCAGGGGACAGGGAGCGGGAGCCCGGGCCAGAGAACCCCGCCAAGGCCACAAGGCACCUCAAGUUGGUCGGAUCCUUCAUGAACACCAUGCAAAAGCCCCUGGGGACUCCCAGAAAUAACUGGAUGAGCCCUGCAGACUUUUGGAAGUCCUGGUGAACAGAUGGGGAUAGAAGCCAGCCAAGGACAGGUCGUGACUGUCAAUGUGACUCCACUGGUCCUCUCCCAGGCUGGCAAGGCCUUGGGGGAAACUCUAAACAAGGCACAUGCACCCAGCCACCACCACCAUCACGAUUCUCUUAACACUGAAUCCUUUUUCCCUGCUUUUUGUCUGGUGGUCCAGCCACCCAGACUCAAGUGUUCGGUGCGAUACCUUCAAAGCCAUUGGAGAUGGGGGCGCCUGGGUGGCUCAGUCAGGGAAGCCUCUGCCUUCAGCUCAGGUCGUGAUCCCGGGUCCUGGG